rnacentral:lncRNA from 1 species
CGGAAUCUAGGGCUCCCGCGAAGCUAGGCGACGAAGCAAGGGCGCGAGAGCGACCCCAGAGGCGAAGCAAGCUCGUGACUCUGGCGGCGAAGCAAGCGCACGACCCCAGCAGUGAACCAAGUGCGCGACCUGACGGCGAAGUAAGGGGGCGACCCAGCAACGAAGCAAGCAGGCGACCCGGCUAAGAAGCAAGGACUCUGGCGGUGAAGCAAGAGCACGAUCCCGGCGACGAACCAAGUGCGCGACCCGAUGGCAAAGCAAGGGGGCGACCCGGUGGUGAAGCAAGCGGGCGACCCGGCUGAGAAGCAAGGGCGUGACCCCGACGGUGAACCAAGCGCGCGACCCCCGCGGCG